UACGAAGGGUGCAAGCGUUAAUCGGAAUUACUGGGCGUAAAGAGCUCGUAGGUGGUUUGUCGCGUUGUUCGUGAAAACUCACAGCUUAACUGUGGGCGUGCGGGCGAUACGGGCAGACUGGAGUACUGUAGGGGAGACUGGAAUUCCUGGUGUAGCGGUGGAAUGCGCAGAUAUCAGGAGGAACACCGGUGGCGAAGGCGGGUCUCUGGGCAGUAACUGACGCUGAGGAGCGAAAGCGUGGGGAGCGAACAGG
rnacentral:rRNA from 1 species